rnacentral:lncRNA from 1 species
UCACCCUACUCUAAUAAGGUUUUGAUAUCUGGAGCUCAUAGGUGGGAGACAACUAAUACAUACUUACAAGACAUUUAUUGCAUAGUCAAACCAUGGAUCCAGAGAAACAAGUCAAUAAGUCAAAUCAAGAUGUGCAUGUGUGGCGAAUGAAUGGUGUUUGGUGAUGAUGGUGAUAAUGGUGAAAACAAUGGUGAAAGUCUAAUUCUACUUUUGCUCUUUUGAGGGGAUACAUACCUUUCUUGCACUUUUCAAACUUUUUGAGGAGAAUGAGAUGCUCUAUAUUUUCUUUUUCUUUUCUCUCAGGUGGGUAUCUUGUACCCCUAAUUCUGCUAUCGGACACUUGUCCAUUUUUACCUCUCGUCUCACUUUUUCUUUUCUUCGAGGUUCCGGGCACUUGCCCAUUUUUAUUUCCUCAUAUCCUUUCUCUUUAUUUUUUAGAGCACUCAUCUCCUGAAAUAAUAUAGCAAGUGGUAGUAACCAAGAUUUUUUUUUUACAAUUGCAAAGAAAUUUAUUACCCGCAGCAAGAAGCUGCUAAGAUGUUUACAGAGUUAAGGUCUACUUGGAGUAGAGCUUGAAACAGAGUACAGAUGGGGCCACAAACAGGCCUGAUACAAUUACAGUUUUGGAAUGUAAUCAUGGAGGUAUGGGCCUGUUUUGCUAAAGUAUCAGCUGUAGAAUUUUGACUUCGGUUGAUUUUGAAGAGUUGAGUCUGAAGAGUGGCUGCAGCAUUGAUGAAAACUUGUGUAAACGGUUUGAUUCUCCACUGGGGCGGGUUUUGUUGGUUCUCCUGAUGGAGAAAAUGCACCAGUUGCUGGGAAUCUGAAAGAAAGCUGCAGAAUGGAAUUUGAAGAGCCUGAACAAUAGAUACUCCAAGAGCUAGGGCUGCAGCCUCAGCCAUGAGAACGGAGUGGCAGCGCUGAAGUUUAGCUUGGACAUAGAUGUAUUGAGGCGGCUGUACCUGAAAAUUUAGGAUAAAUAUGCCUAGACCAGCAUUGUUAGCAUAUAUAUUUUGAUCAUCAGGGGUUACUGCUGCAUCAACAUAACAUCUUGAACCCUGGAGGUUUGCUGGUAGGGGGCAAUAGUGUGCUGCUGGCUGUUGUAGAUUUUCCUACAAAACUGAAAGUUGAUUACCUUGGUUUUGAGCAAUAUGAGAUGAUGCCUGGGCUGGAAUUUGCUCAUUUUGUGUCGUGUAGGCUUGGAUGGCUUCAUGAACCUGAGGUGCUGUCCAAUCCUUUCUGUUGAAAUGGUAGUCAUUCCUGGCUUUCCAAAUGAACCAGAGAGUAUAAAGAAACUUGCUCAAUAGAGCGUCAGGAGUGGUAUCAUUAACAAUAAGGGUUAUCGUUGAUUGGACACCAUCAAUUUCAGGGGUAAAAUUAGCUGUGUUGAUGGAAGGGUUGGCUGUGAGCCAUACCUGACGUGGGAGGGUACAUUGAAAAACAGAUGGUAGUCAUCUUCAAUCAUGUUGCAUCUAUCACAUGUGUUACUACCUGAGGAUGAAAAUCUGGUUGCUCUGUCAGCUGUGGCUAAGGCCCUUCUUAUGAGUCUCCAGGCGAAGGUUUUUAUGACAGGAGGGAUACUUUUGGUUUUCCAGAUCCUGCAUAGAAUUGUGUUAGCCUGAGGAGUGAUGCUUCUUGUACCUGUGGCAGGAAUAUGCAGAACAUUGUUAUUAGAGAGAUGUCUGUAGAUAGCUUUAACAGUUCCUAGUCCAUCUUUGGCAGGAGUCCAUCUUAGGAUGUCAGUGUCAGUACUGUCAACCGUAGGGGUAUUUAUAAUAUGGCCAAUGGCUUGAUUGUCAAAAGUGUUGGUGAGAAGAGGUAGGUUCCAAUUACGAGUGCCUGGGUACCAUAGUUGAUUUACAGUGCUUGGAAGAGGAAGAGUUGUGACCGGGAUGAGCAGGUGGUCAUGGAUGGACUUCCAAUAUCACACCGGGGGGCUGACCAAAUAGAGCUGUUCCCUUGAUGUAGUUGAAGCUGCACACUUUCCGAGAGUUCCUGUUUGACCUGCAAAAUUGAAGACCAGAAAGCGGACUUGGAAACAUUGUUAGUAGCUGUCCAGAAAGAGGAAGUGGGAUAAUACUUUGCUUUGAUGAUUUGUUGUAAGAAGGGGUUUUUGUUAGAUGCCAGAGUGUAAGCUGUGUGCAUAAUAAGGCUUUUAUUAACAAGAUGAAGAUCUCUUAUUCCUAAACCUCCAUUUUGACGAGAUUGACAGAUAUCUUCCCAAGACCUGAAAUGGAUGGGGUUAGUUGUAUUCUCCUCCUGGAUUCCUGCCCACCAAAAUCUUUUAAUGAUGGUUGUUAGUUCAGCAAUAAAAGUUUUGGAGAAGAGGAUGGUGGACAUAUAAUAAACAGGAAUGGCAGAGAGAACAGAUUGAAUAUAGGUGAGCCUGCCAGCAUGAUUUAAUUUGUUUGCUUUAACAGUGGUGAAUUUAGCAUGAAAUUUAUUCUUGAUGAAAGCAUAUGCUUUGUUCCUGUCUUUAUGAUUAAAAAUCAUGGGGUGGCCUAGGUGGAUUGUGUUUGGGUUCAGAUCAGGAACAGGGAAAAUGGAUUUAAUUUGAUUGCGUACCUGAUUAGAAACAUUCUUACUGAAUAAAAUGGAUGACUUGUUGAGGUUGGGGGUCUGACCCGAUCGAUCACAGAAGUCAUACAGAGCCGAGUGAAUUGACUGAGCUUCCUGUAAGUUGGCUUUUCCACAGAUGAUUAAGUCAUCUGCAAAAAGGAGGGAGUGGAUUGGGGGGCAGCCAUUGCCCAAGGUAAUACCUGCAAGUCUAGAAUUCUGCAGGUGGCAUUGGAGAGAGAUUGAAAGUUCAUUUAUAGCUACUACAAACAGAUAAGGGGAAAGAGGACAGCCUUGCCUUAUUCCUCUGUUGACCGAAAAACCUUCAGAGGGUUCACCAUUGACCAGCACCGAAAGAGUUGCGGUGGAGAUACACUGAUAGAUGAGAUUUAUAAAAGGAGCUGGAAGAUUGAGUCUUGUCAGAGCAGUCACUAUGAAGUCCCAUCUUAACCUGUCAAAAGCCUUAGCAAGGUCUAUCUUAAGAAGGAAAGCUUGGUUAGUCCAGGAUUUUAAAUUGAAAGAGUGAAUAAUUUCCUGAGCAAUGAUAAUAUUAGUGUAAAUAUGUCUGUCCUGAAUGAAAGCCGAUUGAGAAUAGUGGAUAUUGUGAGGGAGAUGAUGUUGGAGUCUUUCGGCCAAAGUUUUGGAAAUAAUUUUAUAGGCUACAUUGCAGAGACUAAUUGGUCUGUAAUCUUGAGGAAUAGUAGGUUGAGGCUUUUUAGGGAUUAGAACUAAGAAGGUUUGAUUAAUCUCGGGGUGCAUGAAAGCUUCAGUGUAAAACUUUGUUACCAGAUUUAGGAUGUCAGGAGCUAUCCAGGUCCAGGCUGAUUUGUAGAACGCUGCAUUGAGUCCAUCCGGGCCUGGGGAUGCAUUACUUCUCAUUCUUUUAAUUAUGUCAUGGAUUUCCUGCAGGGUAGGGAUAGAAUUGGUGUAAGCAAGAUCGGAAGAAUUAAUGUGUGGCUGAUAAGCUGGAGAGGCCGAAGUUAAUGGUUGGGUCGUAGCAUUGUUAGACGGAUGGGGAUGAACAUUAAUAUCUGUAUGAGCUUGACCUGCAUGUUCCUGCGCAGAGACAUUGUUGACAGCAAAAAUAUCGUGGAAGUAAUUUAGCAAAGUGGAUUGAAGCUGAUGUUGAGUAGUAGAAGGGGAACCAUCAGGAUUGAGUAAGAAAGUAAUUCUAUUUUUCCUUACUCUUUUGAUUAUGGCCUGAUGAAAAAAGGCAGUAUUACGAUCACCAUGAUUGGCCUAGUCUUUUUUUGCUCUCUGCAAGUGGAACUGUUCAUCUUUGUGAAGAAGCUGCUGGUGCUGCCGGGAGAGAGUAGCCUGCAGAUUGUGGUCUUGGAGGGUAGGGUGAAGAGCUUGAGCAUUAAGAAUUUGAGUUUCAAUGUUAGUAAUGAGAUCAUCCAAACGUGGUUUUCUCCUACGCCACUUUAUUUCAGAGGGAAAAACAGAAAUAGGAUAAUGUUUUUGGCUACUCCCUCGUGGAUAGGAGUAGAAUAAUUUUGGGUGAAUCUGGAGAUGGAAAUGAGUGGAUGUAUGUGGAUGCGUACUUCUGGAGUAGAAGCAGCAUGUAUGAGUGAACGUGCAAGUGAAUCUUGAUUUUAACCGCAUGACAAUCUUCUAAGGGUCUACACAGCUUGACCCACUCAAUGCUCAUAAGGAGUAAAAAAUAAAUGUAUGGUUCAUAGUCUAAUAAGCAUGUAUAUAUAGCUGUGGUAAGAUUUUAAACUCUCAUCAUAUAGGAACUCAUCAUGCAACCUUUUAAAUAUUUUCAAAGAUAAAAUUCUCUAAAAUUCUAGCAUCUCUAAGAACAGAUAAAAAACAGCUCAACCUUCCCAUAUCAUAUCCGUUAACGACAUAGACUUUAGAUCAAGUACUCUUCCCACAAGUUUAGGUUUAGAGCAAAUCUUAAUUCAUAACAGUCAUGCCUAAACUUAAGAGAGAAUUCAAUUUUGAGAACUAGUCAUGGCAGAGCAACUAUUCAUCAUUUCCAUGUGAGAGCUUAUCAUGAGGGUGAUAGCAAACUUUAUUUAUUUAUUUAGCAAACUAAGCAAAGAUAUAUAUAUAUAAGCAUAAAAUCUUUAUUUGGGUUUUUAUGAUUAUGCAUCUUUUUAUUAUUUGAGUAAAGUAUAAACGCGAGUAGAAACACUUAGCUAGAUAAAUGGGGGUGCUCUCCCCCAUGCUGAAUUUUGACGUAAUUUUUUUUGAUGUAGCUAGCAGGUGGCGGAGGUGUAUUUGAAUGUCAGCAGCACCCUGACAACGAUUAGGAUGUCCUCCGUCUGCUAGUCUUCUUUGAUCCUUGAAUUAUGUGGACCUCAAAUAGACAACAAAGCUUUGUGGAACUAGUUAAGUGUUAGCAUAAAUAUCUAGCCUUUAUCAUGUUGAGCGUCCUCUAAUAAAUAUUACUCUCUAUGGUAGGAUCAUAAAUUUAUUUUUAUAUUUUCAUUUCUAUAGAACAGGAAUAUAUUUAUUUUAUUUUGAUGCCACCACAUUGAAUGUACUUAUGUGUUUUAUGCCAUGAGCAUACUCACAUGAGGCUUACUAUUUUUAACAUUUUUUUCUUUUCAAGAUACCAUGAUUAACUAACAAGCCAUUUAAGGAAAUUAAAUAAUUUAAGGGAACACGGAAUGCAGAAAGGAUAAGUAUGGAUAACUACCGAUUUUACCUUUCGGCAAGGGUUCAAUGUUUUAAGUCUUCUGAUCAAGACUUCUCACCGUGUUCACUCUUUAGGAGCGUCAUUUGAUUCAGGUGUGGACCUUGACGUCUGCACCUCUUGAUACAGUGUCACCCAUGUUCUUCGUUUACCCAGCAGUUCGAACUGCGGCGUUGGCAGUAUCUUGAUCAGUGUGUUUGUGCUCAUAGAUCUAGGUCCUUCACUUGGUAAAGUCUGAGAGUUGAAAAAUCCUCCAUGUUUCUCAAAAUGUGUCCUGCUCAUAGAGACAAGGCAGAGAUCAAGUGCAUGGGUCCUGUUGGUGGAAAACACCAACAGAACGAAAAGUAUAUUUAUUCUUCUCUAUCCUUAAGCAUAGGGAGUAAGACAAAGUUGAUGGGUGAUAAGUUCAUGAGUGUAGCAUUUAAAACAUUUGUCAGAUCAGAUCGCUCAACCUUAUGGAAAGAUAAUCUAUCUAUGUAUAUGUCUUUUUAUUUAUAUCUUCCCAAAUAUUGAAUGUGCAACAUUUUAGCUCAUAUGAUUAGGAGUGUAGGAUCAUGGAGGUAGUACUAGGAUCAAAGAUUAAAGGACUAAACAUGCUGAAUCAGUUGGGUUGGUUAAUUUGGAGUUAUAAAUCAUACAUGUUUGUCUCUUUAUUUAUGUGAACGCGAGAACCAAGGAGAAGCUUAUAAAAGUGAUAGUCACAUAUCUUAAGAUGUUACCUUAAUUGAAGAGUGAUGGUACCAUCUCACCUUGUGGAAGCUUCCCAUUCGUAGUGGUUGUGUAUCUUGUUUAUGUACUUUGUCUCCAUCCAUGGAUCAUCUCUCUAUGAUGAAUGAGCUCUGUCCUUCUUGUGCAAAUUGUUAAACUUCAUGUGUCUCUCUCUCCAUCUCUGAUGUGAGUUUAUCUCAGGACUUCCCAAAUCGAUAUUGAAAGUUUUUCUGCAAUGGUUAGUCUGACAAAAUAUACCAAUGUCUACACAAAUAGUUUUUAGUUCAAUAACCAAACUAGACUCCAUGUCUAAUUAGAUUAAGGAAGGCUGUUUAACCUAAGCACCAUGCUUAAUUUAAAAGCCAAUAGAAGUAUGUGCAGUACUUCCAAACUAACACUUACUAGGAUAAACAAAGGUAGCGUGAUGGCAUUUAUAGAGAUCUACUCAAGUGGAGAUGAAGUAGUGUAAUUAGUAUUUAACAAAUUGAGCAUGUCUCAAAGGUAGGGACAACCAACAUAGCAACAUAGCAAAGGAUGUUUUUAUGUAAGGUACUCCUCCAAGCUUGAAUUUUGUAAAAUUCAAGUUUGGAUGAAUUUAAUUCAGUGUUGCAUAAUGAUUGGUUGGACAUACCUUGUACUUGCUUGUCGUUCAUCUGAUCUUCUUGCUCCAAUCCUGGAAAGGUUAGUGACAAGAAUACCCGAAGGAAUAUUUUUACAAUUAUCCUUAUAUGCUCAAUACACCAGGUAAUGUUGCAAAAUGCUCAUGUUAUGAUCGGAUCAGUGCUUAUUUUAGGAAACUAAGCUUGUCCUUGGGAAACCAUCAGUUUAUGUUGGCGAAGUGGUUUCCCCUCCAACGCCAACCUUUGUAUAUCAAGAUUAGCUCAACAAGAUCUGCAAUAUUUAUUAUAGACAUAUGCAUCGACAACCGCCCUUUUAAAGUUUUUGUAAAUACAAAGGAAGAGGGGGUUGGCGAUCUCAAAUGUGGUGAUGUUGGAGAGACAAAUAAAUUGGGAAGAUGUUUCAUAUGAGCACGGAGUAAACGAAGAGGCUAUGAAAUAAAUUCCAUGCUCAUUAAUGUUAUCUUCGUCUCUAAUCUGAAUGUUCAAAGUUUCUUUUGGAUUGGUCCCAUCUAUGUCCUCUUCUAUAGAUGGAUGAAUCUCAUAUUCAAGGGGAGUUAAAGACUCAACAUCUGAAAUUAAGCCAAGGUCAGAAUCCAUUAAGGCUUCUUCCUUCUCCAUCCAUUCUACACAUUCUAGCCAUUUAGAACUUGUGAUCAGGAAAGGGGAGGUGUUAGAAUUUUCUAUAUGGCUUAGCUCUCCUUCUAUGACAUUACUUAACAUGUCAUCCUCAUGGUCUUUAUGACUCCUAUGGUAUGAUCGUCUUGAUGGAUUGCUAGGAUCAUCAUGAGACUGAAAAGGAGAGGGAUAAGAGGGGUCUCUAAGGUCAAGGAUGGAUUUAGAAUUUGUGAACAUGGAAGGGGAGCAGAUAGAAUUUUUGAUAUGGUUUAGCUCUCCUUCACUUGAUAUGUCAUCCUCGACUUCUUCAUAACAGGAACCAGGUGUUGACACUAGCUAACACCACUUAGAUACUAGGUUGUCAUCCCUAGCAUGGCGCCAGAGUGUACAAAGGUAUUUAUAAAUGUAAAGGCUCUCUCGAAAAUAAUCUAUUCUAUCCGCAAGCACACAGAUAAAACACCUCAUUGUAGCAUUUCACCAGGAUAAGUAUUCCAGGUAUCGUUAUUUAUAAUUUUGCUCAAGGGAUCUCAAGAAGAUGAAAUUAAAUCAAGGGGCAAAAUCUAUCAAGGCAUAGACUAGAGAUAAACUUGCAAGAACAUGAUUACUAAUGAGAAACUCGUCACACAGUCACAUACUUUAGCAGGGGGUAAACCAUAAAGAUAAUGAUAAUAAAGUAUAAGUUCAUGGGAUAAAGAGCACAACGAUUAGAAAAUAGACUACUCAUAUAUGUAGGUGAUGUCGGAUUAGCUAGAGAAUGAAUUCUAAGUUAUCUACUAACUACUAAGUCAUAAUCUACUCUAGUUAUCUACAAGAUCAUAUAUAGCAUAAAAGACUCUUCAUUCAUGUAUAAGGAACAUUGAUAAAGUAAAUCAGAACAUCGCAUGACUUACUCCACAAUACCGGUUCUGCCUGUCCUAUCAACGGAGGGUGGACUAUAUAAGAAUCAACGAAGCUGUCACUAUCGCGAACUACGACACGACCCGGCCAAUAGGAUACAUUUGCAGAUAAAUAACAUCUAAGCACCACGCAUACAUGUGAUCUAUCACCUAACUCCCACGCGUCAAGAGCUAAGCGCUUUGCAAACUUAUACAUAAACUCAUUAUCAGUUAGAACUAUAUCAAAUAUAGAACUAGAGCAAACUAAGAACAUAAUAAUUAGAGACAUAAUGCAAUUAGAACAAAGAAUUAGAGAAAGAUAUGAAUAAUACCAAUCUUUAUUACCGAAGAUCCGAAUCCAGAGCGUAGUGCUCUACUUCUCUAAUUUCUAUCUAAUCAACCUCUAAACUUGAAGGAUUAGGGAGUAGCUAAUUCUAAUUCUCUGUGGGAGAGAAGCUCUAAACCCUAGCUUUCAUGGCUACCUCUGAAUAAUGAUUUCUCCUCCUCUCCUCCAGGGGCCAGGGGGUCUGGUUUUAUAGUCCCCUCAAGUGAACGUGAGCCAUUGGAUCAAACCGACAUAGAUUGUAUGGUUUAGAUUGAUCCUUUAGGUCGGUGGAGUCUUGCCCCGAAGCAGAGUCCUGUUUGGAGUCCAACCCUAGGCGGGCGCCCAAGGGGGGUGGGCGGGCGCCCUGCCCCCGAGCCCGAAUCCAUUCUCGUUCGUUCCCGUGGCUUCUAGACCCUUCUAGAUUGAGGAAAAUUGCGCGGCAUGUAAUUAUCUCGUUGUAAACAUGACAUGUGGGCCUUCUCUCCAUAAUUCCUGAUAAACCCCUGCAGAAAUAGAUAAACACCAAAACUCAUGGAAUUCUGUCAGAUAAAACCCUAAUUCUAGAUGUUUGUUUCAUAUUGAUCCCUUUUCAUGUUUAUUUGAUUAUUAAUUUUAGUGCUUAAGGACCGUCAACAAACUCCCCCAAGCUUACCCUUUGCUCAUCCCUGAGCAAAUAGCUAAACUCAGAUGAAUCAGAAGUUGCUUCGAUGUUUUCUUUCCUCACAGGCACACAUGCUUUUACAUAAAAAUUCUUCCAGAUUAAAGUGAAGUGUUAUGGAGUUUAGAACCUGCACUUAAAUCUUAAGUAAUCGAAAGACAAAAUAGUUAAGUCAAGCACUAUCCCUCCUGUUUAUACUUCACCUUUGUUCCAGAGUUUUUCAUAAGUAAAAUAAAACUCAGAGUUCCCAGCAAUGAUUCUCUCAAGUCUCUCUAUAUGUGGUAUUUGUGGAUCCUUACCAUGAUGUCACUUACCUAUAACUAAUGGAAUAUUUAAGUCGAGCUCAUAGGAGUGAAAAAUAGCUCAUACAUAUGUUGUCUAAUCGAGCCAUGGAUCCAAAGGAACUCAGCAUAUAAUUAAAUCAAGAUGUGCAUGUGUGUUGGAGUAAAUGAUAGUGAUGGUGAAAAAUGUAUAAGUGUUAAUAAAACUUAGUUCUCAUUGCUCCUCAUAUUGCUAUCUCUCCUCAUCUUUGCUUUGGGAGAACAUGGGCUAUCUUUUUCUUUUCUUUUUCUCUUCUCUUUUUUUAGGUGGGUAGUAGAUACCCCUAAUUCUACUGUCGGACACUUGUCCAUUUUUUCCGCUCAAGUGGGUAUCUUUGUACCCCUAAUUCUACUUCGGACACUUGUCCAUUUUUACCUCUCGUCUCACUUUCUUUUCUUUCCUUUUCGAGGUUCCGGGCACUUGCCCCUUUUUAUUUCCUCGUAUAUUUUUGCAUAACCCAUGCCUCUUCUGCAUUGAAUCUUUUUAGAGAGAGAAUAACAAUAUUCGGGACUGCGAGUGAUAAUAUUUUUAGCAAAUUUAAUGAUUGGUGAUGAAUGCUGUGGUAGAUGUGUGCCAGUGAAUAUCUUAAUUUAACCACAUGAAAAGCUCCUAAGGGUCUACACAGCUCGAUCAAACUCAAUGUGAAUAUAGUAAAAGAUCUUAUAGCAAGUAUGGCUGUGGUAGGUAGUUUGUUAUGCUAGGAACUCAUCAUGUGAUUUGUAAGUUUUCAAAAUAAAUCUCCAGAACUUAGUGUAGUAGAAACAAGAUAAACAGUAGCCCAACUUUAUAUCAUGCCUUUCUCUUACCUAGACUUUAGUUUUAUGCUUCCCAAAGAUAGUAAUUUUAGUUUUAGUAAUUCCUGAAAGAAUUCUAAUAUAAAAGCUACGUACUUGUAAGUAAGCAAACAGAGCAACUGUUCAUCAUUUCCAUCAUGCAUCUUUUUUUUGGUUUUUUUAUUUUUGUCUAGAGAUUAAACUUAGCAAAAAAAUAAAGCACACUUAUCUACACACUCUUUUUAUUUUGUUUUCAUGUUUAUUAAAAUGCAGUAAAUUAAAGCAAGAAAAUAUUUAUUUGGUUUUCUAAGUUUUUCCUUUUAAGAUAAAUUAAAUACUAAGACAGAAUAGAAUAAAUAAGAAGAGCAAAUAAAAACUUACUUGAUAAAUUGGGGAGGAACUCCCCCAAGCUGGAUGUUGACGUCGGUCUUACCCGAUGUUCCAAAACCGCAUCAUAGUUGUGAUGUUGUCAUUCAUUGUUGUUGUAUCUUGUCUUAGUUCUUGCACUGCAGCGGCAUGGUCCUGGUUCCAUUUUUGUUGCUCUUCCAGGAGUCUUCCAUGUUCUGCUUGCGUGUUCUGGAUGUUGAGGAGGGUGUGGUCGGUACGAGUGAAGAAAGCACCGGCCUCUUGAUAGUAGUCAUUCGUGAAAGCGUAGGAGGCGUCGGAGUAUCGUCCUGCAUCAAAUUGGGGCGGAGGUCUAGAUCCUGAAGCUCCAUAUGGAUCAGUGGAGUACCUGCCUGUAUGAAAAGGCGGGUUUGUCCACUGGUGAUCUUGGCUCUCCGGCCAUGUCUCCUCUGUUGGCUCUUGUGGUUGCGCAUGUCGAACCCAUGGGUCUCGAAGGACUCGAGGAUUGUAAUCGCAAUAAUGCAGGUGCGCUGCUUCUUCUGGACUAGGGUCAGCUCCAUACCAGGUGCGUUCUCGGUGAGUGGUUAUCCUUUCAGAUGCCACUCGCUGUGGAGUUCUCUGGUUCACUGGUGUUGCUGCAAUCUCAAUCAAAAGGUUUUGCACAACGUAGAGGCCAAGGUUCGGGUUAGGUAACCGAAUCUUGCCUUUAUCAUCAUAUAGCAU